CCUACGGGAGGCAGCAGUAGGGAAUAUUGGUCAAUGGGCGGAAGCCUGAACCAGCCAUGCCGCGUGCAGGAAGAAGGCCCUCUGGGUUGUAAACUGCUUUUGACAGGGAACAAGUCGGCCAUGCGUGGCUAAGUGAGUGUACCUGUAGAAUAAGCCACGGCUAACUACGUGCCAGCAGCCGCGGUAAUACGUAGGUGGCAAGCGUUGCCCGGAUUUAUUGGGUUUAAAGGGUGCGUAGGCGGCCAUGUAAGUCAGUUGUGAAAUACCCCGGCUCAACCGGGGGGGUGCGAUUGAUACUGCGUGGCUUGAGUGGCAGCGAGGUUGGCGGAAUUGACGGUGUAGCGGUGAAAUGCAUAGAUAUCGUCAAGAACACCGAUAGCGAAGGCAGCCAACUAGGGGCCAACUGACGCUGAGGCACGAAAGUGCGGGGAUCAAACAGGAUUAGAUACCCUGGUAGUCCGCACAGUAAACGAUGAUCACUCGUGUUGGUCGAUAUACAGCACGCGCCCGAACGGGAAACCGGACGUAAGUAGANCCACCGUCGGGGAGGGUAACGGUCCGGGCCGACCGGGUUACGGUAAACGUUAAACGUUAAAGGUAAGUUAGGCGGCGNGAGACGCGACGGACGGACGACGACGGAGGGAGGAGG
rnacentral:rRNA from 1 species